UCGACAAAUUGGUUUAAUCAAGAUUACAUCAUUUGGAUUACAUGUUCCUACACUUCAAUUUAGAUUACAUAAAGUACCAACCCUUGAUUGCAUUUCGCAAUGCGAAAUUUUUAACCAUGCAAUUCUGAUAAUUGAAAAAUGUUGAUUAAAAUAAAGCAAGUAUAUGAUAAUCAUCAACUUAAAAAAAUUGAUAUCGUGCUAUUACCACUAUAUGAUUAUAUAGUCCCCUAACAUUGAAAAUUUAAUCUAUAUAGUUCCUUUACUAUGCUAAUUAGCCAUAUUGUGAUUAUGUUAAAUGAAUCUUAAAUGUGAAUGACCCGAUUUAUGCUAGAGACUGCCAAUGCAUGAUACGUUUCGAAGAAUUUUUUCGAGCGGUAAAAUUAAGAUAGUUCUGGAUGUUUCGACGACAUUAGACAAGCUAUCCGAGGAAAAUAUCAGGCUUAAUUUGUUCCCA